rnacentral:rRNA from 1 species
CCCACCAAACCGACGAUGGAUAGGGGUUCUGAGAGGAAGGUCCCCCACAUUGGAACUGAGACACGGUCCAAACUCCUACGGGAGGCAGCAGUGAGGAAUAUUGGUCAAUGGGCGAGAGCCUGAACCAGCCAAGUAGCGUGAAGGAUGACUGCCCUAUGGGUUGUAAACUUCUUUUAUACGGGAAUAACAAGCGGCACGUGUGCCGUUCUGCAUGUACCGUAUGAAUAAGCAUCGGCUAACUCCGUGCCAGCAGCCGCGGUAAUACGGAGGAUGCGAGCGUUAUCCGGAUUUAUUGGGUUUAAAGGGAGCGCAGACGGGUCUUUAAGUCAGUUGUGAAAGUUUGCGGCUCAACCGUAAAAUUGCAGUUGAUACUGGAGACCUGGAGUGCGGUAUAGGCAGGCGGAAUUCGUGGUGUAGCGGUGAAAUGCUUAGAUAUCACGAAGAAGUCGGAUUG